GAGUUUGACCUUCCUUAGUUCACAUUUUUAUAUGAUUAUAUCAGGUCGCCUAAAAAGAGAAAGCGAACAAAUAGCAAUGGUGGAGCCUCUUCAUGUAAAUCAAAAAGGGUAUCCAAAAAGUCUGACAACUCAGAUGAUGGCAGCGCAACUAGUCGGAGUAAAUAAUGAUGUAGCUUUUGAGGAGCAUGUCAGUCAUGGUUGAAGUGGACUUGGGGCCAAGGUUUAAACCUCGGUCUUUUGAUUUGAUGUCGUAGUAGGGGACCAACUUAGGAAAUAGAUGUCAUCUUUUGGAUAUGUUGUAUUUAUUGCCUUAAGGGAACCCUUAAACCUUGAUUAUUUGCUUUCAAUUGUAGUGCUCUAUAACACAAAACCA